UGGCGAACGGGUGAGUAACACGUGGGUGAUCUGCCCUGCACUUCGGGAUAAGCUUGGGGAACUGGGUCUAAUACCGGAUAGGAACCAUCUUUAGUGUGGUGGUUGGAAAGUUUUUUCGGUGUAGGAUGAGCUCGCGGCCUAUCAGCUUGUUGGUGAGGUAGUGGCUCACCAAGGCGAUGACGGGUAGCCGGCCUGAGAGGGCGACCGGCCACACUGGGACUGAGACACGGCCCAG
rnacentral:rRNA from 1 species